CCUAUGCUCAGGCACCAAGAACAGGAUGC
rnacentral:piRNA from 1 species